rnacentral:misc_RNA from 1 species
GAUGAAGAACGUAGCGAAAUGCGAUACUUGGUGUGAAUUGCAGAAUCCCGUGAACCAUCGAGUCUUUGAACGCAAGUUGCGCCCGAAGCCACUAGGCCGAGGGCACGCCUGCCUGGGCGUCACACGCCGUUGCACCCCCAUCUACUCCUUCGGGAUUGCGGGGGGGCGGAUGAUGGCCUCCCGUGCGCCUAGCCGCGCGGUUGGCAUAAAUACCAAGUCCUCGGCGACGCACGCCACGACAAUCGGUGGUUGCGAAACCUCGGUUGCCCGUCGUGUGCGUUCGUCGCGCAUCGAGGGCUCGAAAAAAUGCUCGGCUCCGGCUGGGCUUUCAACGCGACCCCAGGUCAGGCGGGGUUACCCGCUGAAUUUAAGCAUAUCAAUAAGCGGAGGA